AUUGAACGCUGGCGGCAGGCUUAACACAUGCAAGUCGAGCGGGGGAAGGUAGCUUGCUACCUAACCUAGCGGCGGACGGGUGAGUAAUGCUUAGGAAUCUGCCUAUUAGUGGGGGACAACAUUUCGAAAGGGAUGCUAAUACCGCAUACGCCCUAAGGGGGAAAGCAGGGGAUCUUCGGACCUUGCGCUAAUAGAUGAGCCUAAGUCGGAUUAGCUAGUUGGUGGGGUAAAGGCCUACCAAGGCGACGAUCUGUAGCGGGUCUGAGAGGAUGGUCCGCCACACUUGGACUGAGCCACGGCCCAGACUCCUACGGGAGGCAGAAGUGGGGAAUAUUGGACAAUGGGGGGAACCCUGAUCCAGCCAUGCCGCGUGUGGGAAGAAGGCCUUUUGGUUGUAAAGCACUUUAAGCGAGGAGGAGGCUACCGAGAUUAAUACUCUUGGAUAGUGGACGUUACUCGCAGAAUAAGCACCGGCUAACUCUGUGCCAGCCGCCGCGGUAAUAC
rnacentral:rRNA from 1 species